GAUGAACGCUAGCGGCAGGCUUAAUACAUGCAAGUCGAGGGGCAGCGCAGGGUAGCAAUACCUGGGCGGCGACCGGCAAACGGGUGCGGAACACGUACAGAACCUUCCUUCGAGCGGGGGAUAGCCCAGAGAAAUUUGGAUAAAUACCUCAUAGUAUAAUGGUGUGGCAUCAAAUUAUUAUUAAAGCUUUAUCACUUGAAGAUGGCUGUGAGUAUGAUUAGGUAGUUGGCGGGGUAACGGCCCACCAAGCCUACGAUCAUUAACUGGUGUGAGAGCACGACCAGUCACACGGGCACUGAGACACGGGCCCGACUCCUACGGGAGGCAGCAGUAAGGAAUAUUGGUCAAUGGACGCAAGUCUGAACCAGCCAUGCCGCGUGGAGGAUGAAGGUCCUCUGGAUUGUAAACUUCUUUUAUCUGGGACGAAAAAAGGCUUUUCUAAGUCGUCUGACGGUACCAGAUGAAUAAGCACCGGCUAACUCCGUGCCAGCCGCCGCCGUAAAAC
rnacentral:rRNA from 1 species